ACUCCUACGGGAGGCAGCAGUGGGGAAUAUUGCACAAUGGGGAAACCCUGAUGCAGCCAUGCCGCGUGUGUGAAGAAGGCCUUCGGUUGUAAAGCACUUUCAGUAGGGAGGAAGGUAGUGUAGUUAACACCUGCAUUAUUUGACGUUACCUACAGAAGAAGCACCGGCUAACUCCGUGCCAGCAGCCGCGGUAAUACGGAGGGGUGCGAGCGUUAAUCGGAAUUACUGGGCGUAAAGCGCAUGCAGGCGGCCUGUUAAGUCAGAUGUGAAAGCCCGGGGGCUUAACCUCGGAAUUGCAUUUGAAACUGGCAGGCUAGAGUCUUGUAGAGGGGGUAGAAGUUUCAGGUGUAGCGGUGAAAUGCGUAGAGAUCUGAAGGAAUACCAGUGGCGAAGGCGGCCCCUGGACAAAGACUGACGCUCAGAUGCGAAAGCGUGGGGAGGCAAACAGGAUUAGAUACCCUGGUAGACU
rnacentral:rRNA from 1 species